rnacentral:rRNA from 1 species
AGACGGGGCCCGCACAAGCAGUGGAGUAUGUGGUUUAAUUCGAAGCAACGCGAAGAACCUUUACCAGGGCUUGACAUCCCUUGAAGCAGCUAGAGAUAGCUGUGUCCUUCGGGACAAGGAGACAGGUGGUGCAUGGUUGUCGUCAGCUCGUGUCGUGAGAUGUUGGGUUAAGUCCCGCAACGAGCGCAACCCCUGUGGUUAGUUGCCAGCAAGUAGCGUUGGGCACUCUAGAGGGACUGCCGGCGACAAGUCGGAGGAAGUGGGGAUGACGUCAAAUCAUCAUGCCCCUUAUGACCUGGGCUACACACGUGCUACAAUGGGCGGUACAAAGGGCUGCGAACCCGCGAGGGGGAGCGAAUCCCAAAAAGCCGCUCUCAGUUCGGAUUGCAGGCUGCAACUCGCCUGCAUGAAGCCGGAAUCGCUAGUAAUCGCGGAUCAGCAUGCCGCGGUCGAAUACGUUCCGGGCCUU